UGGGGUGAGCUAUACAAUGGGUUGAUCUGUAGAAUGGAGUGAGCUGGACAAUGGGGCUACUCACCCCACCCACCUUGCAAAGUGAUGCAGGACAGGAAAUGGGUUAAUAGAAGCUCGGAUUUAGAAGAGUGCCUGGCACGCCUAAGGGCUCAAGCCGUCUGUGUAAUUAUCUUAAACUUUUUCAUUUCGGAAAUGAAACAGCUCCUCCCUUCACCGCCACCUUGGCUAUUUCUGGGACCAAAGGAAUCCUUGAAGCUGACCGGGCAGGAGAGUCCACGCUGGGAGUAAAAUCACUACAAACUGUCCAUCAGAAGGCCCCUGCUGAGUAGUUGGCAGGGUGGCUGCACAUAAUGGAAAGCACAUAAGCUUGAAGCCAGACAGAUGGGAGUUCUAACCCCAGCCCUGCCACUUAUUCCCAGGUGACACUGAUUAUGAACAAAGCUACUGGAAAUGUCUGAGUGGAAGUUUUUGUGUGGAUGUAAGUUUUCGGCUCCUUUGGAUAAAUACCA
rnacentral:lncRNA from 1 species